GCGUUCGGGUAAUCGCUGUACGGUUUAAUCGUGCAGAGGAAAGUCCAUGCUCGCACAGACUGAGAUGUCUGUAGUGUUCGUGCCUGGCGAAUUCAUAAGCCAGGGCAGCUUGCUUGCAGGCUGACGGCAGGGAAAAUACCUAAGUCUAACUAGAUAUGGUAUGAAUACCUUGAAGGUGCCACAGUGACGUAGCCUUUUCAGAAAUGAAAAGGGUGGAACGAGGUAAACCCCGCGAGCGAGAAACCCAAAUUAUGGUAGGGGCACUUUCUCAGAGGAAAUGAACGAAGAGAAGGACGGAUGAUGUAUCAUCUGUAGAUAGAUGAUUACCACCUGAGUACAAGACUUAGGGUCGCUUGCAGUACAAAGGAACAAAACAUGGCUUAUAGAA
rnacentral:RNase_P_RNA from 1 species